CAAAUGCCCAAAUAACUCUCAUUUCUCCCAAAUCGUGGAAUGGUGGAAGGCUGGAAGAAAACCCUUUUCCAAUUUCUUCAAUUCUUCCUUCGCCGCUCGUCCCUACGACACUGCACACGAGUGAUGAGACACGAAGGUGCUGGAGAUCGUCAGUUUCGCCCCUGACCUACAAGCUGCAGUGUGCUAACUGCUCAAUACCAUGUUUAACAAUUUAAGGGCAUCAAUUUGGCGUGAUGUUGGAGCGGAAUCGCAGAAUUCUUUGUCCACUUGGCAAGCAAGUUCUCUGGUUCACUGGUUGGAGACUUGGAGCCAAUAUUAAUGCCAAAUGAUUCCUUCCUCGGAAUGGGUGGAAGAAAUUAUGAAAUUUGUCAUAGUUGUAAAGUUAAAGGCCACUCCUUUGCUAAUGCCCACAAAAACGUCGAUGCCCAUUAUGCAAGCAUGGAUUCGCGAAGUAUUUCAUGGUGGAGAAAGAGACGGUCAACACAGGAUGAUUAAUUCUUUGUUGCAGUGACAAUUGUAGAUUUUGGGACUGGGUUUUGAAAGAAGAAUUAUCAAGAGAUCAAUCCUCUAGCAAUAGCACUUCCUCAGUUAACCUAGGGACGAACGAAAGAGUUGAAGAUAUGAAACGCAAGUUCCAAUCUCGAGUUUUCCUCAAUGAUAAAGAAAAGCUACGAAUUUCAAUGACUGUGAUGAUUAGCAAGGUAAAUGGUAGCGCGGAAGGGAAUGUAAAAAGGAAGGGGUCAACGUGAGUAGUAGAAAUUAAUCGAACGGGUGAUCACGUGAGGAUUUAGGCAAUUACAUCUUUUGUGUCGUAUUGUUGUGUAAAAAUUGUUUUGGCAUUUCGAUUUAGCUAGACGAUGUUAAAAUCCAUCUUUCUUGUUCGUAGUUUUGAAGUUAUGAUUUCUUUAUAUUGUUAAAAUUCAUCUUUCUUG